AUUGAACGCUGGCGGCAUGCCUUACACAUGCAAGUCGAACGGUAACGCGGGGCAACCUGGCGACGAGUGGCGAACGGGUGAGUAAUAUAUCGGAACGUGCCCAGUCGUGGGGGAUAACGUAGAGAAAUUUACGCUAAUACCGCAUACGAUCUAUGGAUGAAAGCGGGGGAUCGCAAGACCUCGCGCGAUUGGAGCGGCUGAUACCAGAUUAGGUUGUUGGUGGGGUAAAAGCACACCAAGCCGACGAUCUGUAGGUGGUUGGAGAGAACGACCAGCCACACUGGGACUGAGACACGGCCCAGACUCCUACGGGAGGCAGCAGUGGGGAAUUUUGGACAAUGGGCGCAAGCCUGAUCCAGCAAUGCCGCGUGCAGGAAGAAGGCCUUCGGGUUGUAAACUGCUUUUGUACGGUACGAAACAGCUCUUUCUAAUAAAGAGGGCUAAUGACGGUACCGUAAGAAUAAGCACUGGCUAACUACGUGCCAGCAGCCGCCGCAG
rnacentral:rRNA from 1 species